CAAUGAAUAGCAUAGUGGCAGUGCAUAGGUCUGCAAAACCUUUUACGACGGUUCGAUUCCGUCUUCAUCCU
rnacentral:tRNA from 1 species